rnacentral:rRNA from 1 species
UGGGGAAUAUUGCACAAUGGGCGAAAGCCUGAUGCAGCAACGCCGCGUGAGUGAUGAAGGCCUUCGGGUUGUAAAGCUCUGUCUUUUGGGACGAUAAUGACGGUACCAAAGGAGGAAGCCACGGCUAACUACGUGCCAGCAGCCGCGGUAAUACGUAGGUGGCAAGCGUUGUCCGGAUUUACUGGGCGUAAAGGAUGCGUAGGCGGAUUUUUUAAGUGAGAUGUGAAAUACCCGGGCUUAACUUGGGUGCUGCAUUUCAAACUGGGAAUCUAGAGUGCGGGAGAGGAGAAUGGAAUUCCUAGUGUAGCGGUGAAAAUGCGUAGAGAUUAGGAAGAACACCAGUGGCGAAGGCGAUUCUCUGGACCGUAACUGACGUUGAGGCAUGAAAGCGUGGGUAGCAAACAGGAUUAGAUACCCUGGUAGUCCACGCCGUAAACGAUGAGUACUAGGUGUAGGAGGUAUCGACCCCUUCUGUGCCGCAGUUAACACAAUAAGUACUCCGCCUGGGGAAGUACGAUCGCAAGAUUAAAAACUC